GGAUUAGAUACCCUGGUAGUCCACGCCGUAAACGAUAAUCACUAGACGUCAGCUUGGCUUUGCCGGGUUGGUGUCGUAGCUAACGCGUUAAGUGAUUCGCCUGGGAAGUACGGUCGCAAGACUAAAACUCAAACGGAAUUGACGGGGGUCCGAACAAGCGGUGGAACAUGUGGUUUAAUUCGACACUACGCGAGGAACCUUACCUAGGCUUGACAUGUUUUUGACAGUUGUGGAAACACAAUCUUCUAGGCUUCGGUCUAGACAAUUACACAGGUGCUGCAUGUCUGUCGUCAGCUCGUGCCG
rnacentral:rRNA from 1 species